rnacentral:lncRNA from 1 species
AAUGGAACACUAUUUCAUUACUUUUUGCUUUAACUCUUUCAUAUUCAUUGAACACGGAAUUCACUCAUUUUUUAAUACCUCAGAAGCAAGCAUUCAGGUUUUGCUAUAGUAGGGCCCCACCUCUCACUUCAUGGCUCCUGAGUUACAGUGAUUGUCUGUCCAGUGUUAAGCCAUAGAUCUUCACAAAGAGAAUAAGGAAGCUGAAUGAAAAACAAUAACAAAGGAUUGAUGGAUUGGAAAGUCAGGAAAGUGAAGGUAAAUAAAGGGCUUAGAAGUAAUGAAAUAAUGGCACAGAAUUGUUCAUUUAUUGCUCUGCAGAGCCCAAAAUGUCUAUACAGUUUUUAUUUGUUUUAUUUAUUUAUUUUUUUUGGCAUCUACAUAUUUCACUAAAAACCUUCUGUCUCCGGGAAUUUAAAGUCAGUGCAUUCUUUGGGUAAGUUCAGCUGGUCAAAUCUAUGCAGAGCAAGCACAUUUUUUAAAAUUCCAGUAAUUAAAAUAAUUGGCUAGCUAAGAAAAGACUGUCCCAGUUAAUUGGUCUUCACUGAAGAAACAUUAAGCUUUAGGGAAAAUGCAUGUUUAAUAGAAGUAAUAAGUUAUUAAUACAAAUGGAAAUUCUGCAAAAUGUAAAAUAGUGAGUAGUGGAAAUUGUUCAAGUUGCUUGUAGAAACUAAAUUAGUUUGUUACUUUUCUCACUCUAUCCAUUAAGCCAUUAAUUGAUUUAAAAUAUUAAUACAGCUUAAGAAUUGUGGAAAGGCACCUCCUUCUUUGCAAUUUUUCUGUCAAAUCCUGCCACUGUAUGGAAAAUGAUUAAUCAUAAGCAUGCAUUGCAAUAUACCAAAGCUGUAUUGCACCAUUAAUAGGAGUGUUUACAAAUGUUUACAAGUGUUCUUAGCCCAGUUAAAACACAGAUCCUUCUUUAUCCUCUUGUAAUUUUAAGUGAUCUGCCUUAAAAGUCAUGUUUCCUCUUAUUUUUGUAAACUCUGUGGAGUUCAUUUUUCCUGCAGUGCUAAUUUAUGGUGAUUGUUUGCAAAACAUGGUAUUAAUAACUAUCAAAAAUAACACUAUACAUUUAAUAGUAGCUAUUAGUUGUGUCUCCAAGGAGAAGAUGACUAGUUCUGUAUGCACUUGUACAGUUUCCUGUCACCCUGCUGGGUCACUCAGGGAUCUCAUUACAUACUACACAGCAGGUAAACAAAUGUGUGUUAUCACUGGUGAAGGCCUGGGCUCACCAUGCCUCUGGAGAACUGUAACAAACCAUGCACUGUUGCAGAGACUCUUCUCAUCACUCCUGUAAGGC